rnacentral:rRNA from 1 species
UACGUAGGGGGCAAGCGUUGUCCGGAAUCAUUGGGCGUAAAGAGCGUGUAGGCGGCCCGGUAAGUCCGCUGUGAAAGUCCAGGGCUCAACCCUGGGAUGCCGGUGGAUACUGUCGGGCUCGAGUCCGGAAGAGGCGAGUGGAAUUCCUGGUGUAGCGGUGGAAUGCGCAGAUAUCAGGAGGAACACCAAUAGCGAAGGCAGCUCGCUGGGACGGUACUGACGCUAAGGCGCGAAAGCGUGGGGAGCAAACAGGGAUUAAGAAACCCC